GUCCAGACUCCUACGGGAGGCAGCAGUGGGGAAUAUUGCACAAUGGGCGCAAGCCCGAUGCAGCCAUGCCGCGUGUAUGAAGAAGGCCUUCGGGUUGUAAAGUACUUUCAGUCAGGAGGAAGGUGGUAAGGUUAAUAACCUUAUCAAUUGACGUUACCGACAGAAGAAGCACCGGCUAACUCCGUGCCAGCAGCCGCGGUAAUACGGAGGGUGCAAGCGUUAAUCGGAAUUACUGGGCGUAAAGCGCACGCAGGCGGUCUGUCAAGUCGGAUGUGAAAUCCCCGGGCUCAACCUGGGAACUGCAUUCGAAACUGGCAGGCUUGAGUCUCGUAGAGGGGGGUAGAAUUCCAGGUGUAGCGGUGAAAUGCGUAGAGAUCUGGAGGAAUACCGGUGGCGGAGGCGGCCCCCUGGACAAAGACUGACGCUCAGGUGCGAAAGCGUGGGGAGCAAACAGGAUUAGAUACCCGCGUA
rnacentral:rRNA from 1 species